rnacentral:lncRNA from 1 species
CCCCUGCCCCCCGGCCCUGGUGGUGGGGGAGGACGGAGACUUAGGGCCGGCAUCCUCGCUUCGCCUUCACGGAGACGCUAAGCCCCCGCCUGCCCACCCCCUGUGGAGGUGGCAGAUAGGGGGUCCCGCUGUCCCUGAGCCCCCUGGCCUCAAAUUCUGGGGAAUCAACUUGGAGCAGCCCUGAGCGUUUUAUGGGCUGUGGUCAGAAGGACCUCAAAUGACAGUGAUCUUCAAGCACCUAACUGGUUGCAGUGACACCCCCUCCCCCUCAUCCUUUGGAGAAGAACCAAGGCCUGGAGUCGGGAGAAGGCUUAACCGAAAAAGGCUUAAAGACGUAGAUUCCAAUCCCUCCCCUCUUCCAUCUCGGAUCUCUGGGGGCAGGGCCUUCACCCCAGGGGGAGUCGAGAAGGCUACAACUCAAAAGAGGAGGAAAAAAAAAGAGGGAGAGAGACCUUGGCCUUCCCUAGCCUCCAAGCACCACUGUAGCCUUCAUGGGGACCCGAGCAGCUUAGGCAAGGGAGGAGCAAGGCUGAGGAACCUCCUGCCCUUCAGAAGUACAAACUGCCUGGGGAAGGAGACAGAGACCAUCCCAGGGAAAGUAAUGGAAGGUGGAAGAAAUCAAUAA